rnacentral:lncRNA from 1 species
UUUCUUGUCUUGUUAAAGUUUUGUAAUUAACUUAAAUUGUAUAACAUUUUGAAUUGUCAUUUUAUUUUUUUUAUAAGUCUUUUUUUAAUGUUUUAUGCUUCCAAUAUAGAAGGAUUGGCAAGGGAAAAUAUUGCAAAGCAUUUGAUGCAGAAACUGCUAUUGGCAUCCUCUCAAGUGGUUGAAUCCAAGUAAGACUGGUGAGCAGCCCAAGCUUCAGCUGGCU